rnacentral:tRNA from 1 species
GCCGAUGUAGGUCAAGAGCAGACUGCCUGUUUCGUAAACAGGCGAUGCGGGUGCAAUUCCCGCCGUCGGCUCCA